AUAGAUAGAUAGAUAGAUAGAUAGACAGACAGAUCCUGGUGAAUUGGAAUCUAUCAACAAUAUUCAGUUAAUUACUGAAGAUCAAUAUCUCAAAGUGCCACUCCACAUUUGUUCAUUAUCCUUUACCCUUUUCCCUGUCCCACAUACAGUAACAGUUGGGUGCAUGUGACUUUAUAAUGUUAUGCCUUCAGGAAUACAGUUAUAUGCAGGUUCAGAAUUAUCAUUUCACUAAAUAGGAUAUGCACAAAGUCAUAGCAUUUCUACCUAACCUAUAGUAAAUAAUCAAAACUUCUGAUUCCAGAAACAUAAUGUUAAAAGAAAUCUUUUAAACUGCAUUCAUAUGCAUACAUUCAUAAAGGAUUUGCUGUUUGUUAACACAGUAACCAUAGGAUGCCUCUUAAUUUUAUUUAUCUUCAUAUUCCUUCCUCUACUCACGUCUUCACUAAUUAUCACUACUUGUUCCCUCACUUUUCAAGACCCAUACCAUGCAUAUUGAUCUAUUCUAGUUCCCUUUCCUAAGGAGACCUAUCUAUUACUCCUAGUCCCAAACUCUAAACACAAUUUCUCUGCUUCUGUAGGUUGUACAUUGGUUCAUUGAUUUAACAGCUAAUGUCCUCAUAAAAGCAAAUAGAUAAUAUAUUUGUCUUGGUGGUCUGAAAAAUUUCAUUCAGUAUGAUGUUUUCUAGUUCCAUUCAUUUACCUUUGAAUUUCAAUUCUUUUAGGGACUGAAUUUUUCAAAUAUGAAAAUAUAGACAGAAGGUACCAUGCUGUAACCUGUAAUUCCACACUGAGAGAGAUGAACUGGGACUACCCGUCUGAGUACACUUUGGAUUAAACUAGUGAGAAGGAAACCUAGGCUGCAGUUUGGGAGGAUGCAUCACAAAUCACCAAAAGAAGUGAGUUUAAAUGACAUAAAUAAACAAAUAACUACUUUAUCUGAGACAUAAUUAGAGUAAAAUAUUUUUCAGUAACUUUAUAUUUCAUGCUCGAAAAAAAGGACAGUACAAAUCAAAUCAAAUGAUAUUCAUUCUUUUCUAAACCAUUGAGACAUAGGGGCGUUGCUCAGUCUAGGAAGUAUGCCCAGGAUAUGGCAGUUCCUGGGUUGAAACUUCACUGUUCCAGUGAAUGAAAUAAUUUGAUUCACCAGUGAGUUGAAAGAGUAUGUAAAAUGAACUCCAAUUAAAACAGAGUUCUAUCCAGGAAGGCAUCAGAGUAGAAAUAGAGGAUUGACUUACACAAGUUUUCCUCUGACCAAUAGAAAGAAAUUUAUCCUCUGAAGACUUGCUUAGUUAAAUGUUAAUACAUGAAGAUGAAAUAAUAUCAAUCUGUAUCAGUUUUUGAAUUAAUAAUUUUUGAAAAUUGAUUUUUUUCAGACAAUAUAUUCCGCCUCAUUAUUUCAUCCUCCCUGAUUCUUUCCAUCUGGAAAAUGACCUAUUUCCUCAUGUUCUCACCCCACCCCUUGGAAAACAUGAAAAGAAAAAGCUAACCUGACUAAAACAGAACAAACGACCAAUGGAAUCAAAAAUGAUAAAACACAAGAAGCACAUAGACACACAGAGAUACAUACUUACAGAGAAAGUCGAAGAAAAUAUUAAAUUGGGAGUCAGAAUAUAUGGGAAAUUACCAGCAUGGUCAAAAAUAUAAUAUAUUAUGAAUAAAAAAAUUCAAAAUUACCAUUGAUUUAUGUAAGUUAGAAUGAAGUACCUGCUUGAUUGUAGGUUCUAUUCCCAUGAAACUGUACUGGAUGAAAGCACUUUUGAUAUUAGAAAUUAUGUCACAAUGAGAGAACUUCUUAGUGAGGUAGAUCAUAUUCAGAUACAGAUAUUAGUGGUUGGACACCAAAAAAUUUGACCUGCAAAACCUCUGCAGAUCCUUUGCAUGGCUUCCUGAUUUAUAUAAGUAUAUAUGUAUAUCAGUCCUGUUGUGUCUGGACAUUAUUGAUCACUUAAUUGCAUUCAUCCCAGUACCACUGUGCCUUACAAUAUUCCUACCAUGACUUCUAAAAAUCUUUCCUGAGCCAUGAAGGAAGAGAUUAGCUGGUAAUGACUCAUUUAUGAGAGUAUGAUCCAAGGUCUUUCACUUUGUAUAUUGUGCAGAUAUAGUUCUCUGUAAUUGGCCCCAUCUAUUAUAUAUGCUAGCUUCUGUGAUGACAAUAGAGCAAUAUAAUGAUAUAUGGGCAUAACGGAAUAUUAUUAGGAAUCAUUUUGCAUCUACAUUUGCACAGCAGACAAUAAUACCUGCUUUAAACCUUAAACCCCAGUAUAUUGUCAUGAGAACAAUGGAAGAAAUGUGUUCUAUCUCACUCUGUAUGUCUGAAAUCCAGUCAUAUAGUGGUUGCUUACUUCCUUGAAGGUGCCAAGAUUGCAGCAUUGUAUCCUGUAGGCAGCUGAGUGUGGUAGGUCAAAUAGUAAAGUUUUCCCUCAAUAACCCUGCCAAACACAUUUCUGUACCAGCAACAGUAUUCAAAAAGUAAAUGUUUUAGUGAGGCACCUGUUUGUCUUCUCUAUGUUCAAAAGAAAUGUAGGUGUUGUCUUCAACAAUAGAGCCAUCAUCAGCCUUAUGCAGCAAUCAGUAGCUUAGGCAAUAGCUUGAAGUGAUUGGAGUAUUACAAUGAGGACACAUUGGCCAAAAAUAUAGUAGAUAUAGCCAAUACAUGGGGUCGGAGAUUUCAUUUCGUGGGAAGAGAUGUCUAGUUCUAUCAUUCUCUCCCAUUUUUUAAUAUCCUUUAUUUGUUAUUUAUGUUAUAUAUUAAGAACUGAUCUGACUCCUACAUAUAGCUGUCCUCCUUAGUAUUACACUCUAUCCUUUCCAUUCCCCCAUCUCCAUUUAUUUGCUACAUUCCAAUGUAUCCCCCAAAUAUGCCCCAUCAUUUUUUAUAUAGUUUCUCUACACUCAUAAAAUCCUUUCUUCCUGCCUAAUUCUUGUAUGCCAUUGUCAGGGCUUAAAAUAUCAAAAUAUAAGCAGAUACAUUCUGUAUUUAUCUUUGAGGUUCUGGAUAACUCACAAUGAGGUGGUUGUUAUUGUUGUUGUUGAUGAUGAUGAUGUUGCUCAGACCCUUUCAAAUAUACCAGAAAAUAGUAAGUGGAUCACAGGCAAUAAGAUGUUGAGGUAUUAACACCAUUGUGGUUUGAUUUUGCUCUGUUCACAUAAUUGAUUGCUUCUUCUCUCUGGAGGUAAGAAAGUACAUUUUUAAAAGAGCCCCCUUUUCAAAAUGAGAUGUUAGAGUUUUAUAGAGAAUUUGGAUUGUGAAAGACUUGAAAAUGGAAAUGCUAUUGGGUUUUUAAUUCCAAGGACAGAUAUGUUUGAUAUUCAACCUUUGGUAAAAUAUUUGCCUAACAUAAACAGAUUUGAAUUUGACCUUCAUCACAAAUGCAGAUAUACUAUACACACAAGAAACAACAGCAGCCAGGAGGUAGGGACAGAAUAAUAUGAUGCUGAAGGUCAUCCUAACCAUUAAUCAGAAGAGCGGGAAAUCAUUUUAGAGAAAAAGUGAUAUAUGCUUUAUGUGCUUGUAUGCUAAAAAUAUGUAACUAUAUUUUGAUUUUACAGGGGUAACAUUGAAAGUAUUGACUUGAGGCUCAGCGACACUUUAAGGUUUUAAACAGGGUUCAUUCUAUGAAAAAUAAUGGGGUCUUUUAAAUUUGUAUAGUAUACUUUUAUUAUAAAUUGACUGUAAGUCUGUGGUGACAAAGAGUAGAAUGCAGUGGUUUCAAUGAGAUGUCGACGAUUAGUUUCUAAUUUUUAAACAGUUGACUCCUAGUUGAUGAUUGUUUGUGGAAGGUUUUGAGAGAAGACUCUCUGCUUCUUCUCUGAGGUUUGAGAUAUAAACUCCUAAUUCAGCAACAUGCUGCUUAUCACUAGAAAUACAGAAAGAGAAGAAAUAAUUUUUGCUACUAUACUACAAUUUGAAUUUUAUUAAUAUAUUUUUGUUUUUGUUACAAAUUCUAAAAUGUAAUUCUGGCUGUAAGUAUACUCAUAGUAGACUCUCGUCCUAUGACUCUAAAUUGUUAGAUAUAAGGGCAUGUGCCAACAUGACUGGACUUUUUCACAAAACAAAAAAAUCUAAAAAUAAUUAAUGAUCAAAGUCAAAUUCACAUUUACAAAUCAAAUUAAAGCAUUCAAGAUAUAUUGACUUACAUAUUAAUCAUAUCAUUUAAGAAAUAGAAGCAAAAUAUUUACUUCAUAUUUUUGCCCAACUUACUCUACAGAAUGUGACACUGUCUCACAAAUUCCAAAAAUUAAACAGAAUAUGAACAAAACUAGAAAUAAAAUAAAGGAGAAAAGGAGGAGGAAUCAGAGGAGAAAAAGGAGGAAGAGGAUAAAAGGAGGACUCCACUAAUCAGAGAAAACGAAAAGCUCAUAAAAUGAAGUACGAAUAAAUUUUCCAAUCCAUGAACACUAUCUGGAAGGGGUGAAUACUCCAGUUAGUCACCAACUUAACUUCUUCAUGUUCAAUGCGAUAGAUUAGGGUGAGCCCUGGCAGCAGGCAAGAAAAUGACCUCAUCUCUCAUAGUGGCCAUUGUACCGUAAUCCAGGUAGAGACACUUGUCGUUCUGACAUCAUCUUGGAGAUCUUGUGCCAGGUAUCUGUGAGGAUUUGGAGGUCUCUAUCUGUCCUAGUAAUCUUAAACAUUUCAUGUUAUAAAAAGCAGAUUUCUGACACGAUUGAGAGGAUCUGUUACAUAUAUAUGAAUUAGACAAUCUAUGUCUGUUUUUAAUUAUUGGUUCUGACUAGUAUCAAGGAAGCACAGAGAUUAUGACUUAAUGUUUUGAGUAAUAACAGCAUAAAAACAUUGGCUAAACAGAUAUUUAAGGCAGUGAUCAUAUUUACUGUUGUAAAUCUUUAAAUGAGUAUUAAAAUUAUUUACCACAGCUAGACAGAAAUAGUAUGAAACCUUUAUCUUUAUUGUUAAGUGUCCAUGGCAUCUUUAAUUCAGGCCGUUCUCGUAAUGAGAGAUGUCAUGUGAGGAAUACACAUAACAAAGAUGGCAAAAAGUCAUGGGUUGCCUUCAUCCAAGAUGGUGCUGUAGCUAUAGCUCCACUGGUGUUUGUUAUAUCUCUGAGCUGAAUGACAGUUUCCUGUAGAAGCAUGGCUAUGUAUCAGCAGAGGAAAACGUGCAAAGAUACAAAUAGACAUGUUCUGCUGGUGGCCAGGUCAUUAUUUUUUAAUGUUAGGAGAUUUCCUCCCUGUCACUUCAAGCAGCCUCUGCGACUGUGCGGUUCCAAGCAGCAUGAUCUAAGCAGUGCAGUCUAAAUGGUGGUGUGGCACAUCUGAGGCAGGCCCAUGGAGCAUCUCUGCUCCUCCUUCUCACGACAGAGCUGGCUUAGAGCUAGGGUAUAUCAGAAUGGAAAGAAAUAAGAAGUAAAAAAUUCCAAGGAGGCAGAAAUUUAAGACUUUCUGCUAAACCAAAUAGCUGUCAACAGCAGUGAAACAAGACCUGGAGAGAUAAAGGUUCAGGGAGCAGAGAGCAAGGUAGUUGGAUCAAGGAAUAAAGUGGUUGGGAGGGAAGGUGGGCAAAAUCCUAUACAUAGAACCCUUCCAUUUUUCACAUUGCUGGUGAGCGUUGUAAAAGUUUUUUCAAUGUGCGGUUAAGAGGCCAUUUAGAGUUAUUAUCUUUCAGGUAUUGGAAACAAAUUUGGAAGCCUUUAAGACCAGGAGACAUCCCAAUACAGAGGUUAAAAAUAGCAAUGAAGCCAUUAUCUUUGAGUGAGAAUAGGAGUUAUUAACCUUAUUACUUCCAGAAACCCAAUGAUAAGUUAAUAAUUAAGAAUGGAAUGGUCAACUAGUGCAGUUUGUCAGGACAGUAGGAGAUAAACUAGGGGUUGAGCUAUGACCAACACCUGAGUUGUGGAGCCAGUGCCAAAGGUAGAAUGAUUUACCUAGGCCUAGUAUUUUUUAUCAGUGAGAGAGAAACCAUCAUAGGAAGAGAAAUAGAACUCACACAAGGGUAGAGGUCCUAAGAGGAGGAGUCAGCUAGAAAGGCCAAUAUUGUAGGCUAUGAAUACCUCUGCUGCCAAGGAAACUAGAGGGGGUGGAUGUGAGCUGAAUAGAGACCAGUGGCCUUUUAUCCUGACUAAUGUGUGAGUGGUGGGAGGACUUCUUUUGUGAGUGGUGGGAGGUCGUCUUUCCAACUUGCCCCUGUUUGGGAAGAAAGGAAUAUCAAGAAAAUGGCUGGAAAGUGUGUGAGGUGGCAGGAAAUGUGAACCUGCCAGUUUGCAAAACGAAAUUAGUACACCAAAUGCUGUGUUUUAUAAAUCCAAGGAUAUAUUUUUAUGGAACACAGUUUUGUGUGAUGGGAUUUCUCAGCAGACCCAUGCAGAGGCAUCCAUUCCUCCAAGGUAAGAGCCAUAAGAUGGGUCUAGUGUAGAAUAGAGUUGUUUAGGGUCAUGGGAAGUGUAGGUAAGAAAACAGUAGAGACAAAGAAGAGGGUGGAGAUAAGGGGAGGAGGAGGCUAGUCAGGAAUACAUCUAGGAAGGGGAGAUGUAGUAAUGGAGUGAGAGGAGAAAGUCAGGAAGAAAAAAAGGCAUAGAGAGAGUCUAAACACUCCCUUUUAUAUCUAGCCAGGCCUACCUGGCAGUAUGUAGGUAACGAUUGGGUAGGACCUAGAAGAAAUGCUAAGGUGCAAACACAUUUACUAAUUCCUUAUUUAUUUCCUAUGUAGUCUUUAACUUGCAGAAAGGAUAUUGCUAUGUCAUAUUUUUAUUUACUGGAAAAUUAUUGUGUAGGAACAUUUAAAAUCAGAAGCCUUUCUACAUUUUUAUUCUCAUAUUCAGCAGACAUUUAUAUCACCAAGGAUUAAAUGUGCAUAGAAGAGACUGAGUGAUGUUUCUGCUUAUGAAAACAAGGAGUGCUUUACAAGAUUUCCAAGAAAUUAUACCAGGAAUUUUGAAACUACAUGGAACUGCAUUUCUGAAGAAAUACACAGACUUUGGCAUCAAUAUACUUCUACAUUGUGUUCCCGAACAAACACACACAUGCACACACACAGAGA
rnacentral:sRNA from 1 species